UGCAGUCGAACGGCAGCGCGGGGCAACCUGGCGGCGAGUGGCGAACGGGUGAGUAAUACAUCGGAACGUACCCUGUGAUGGGGGAUAACUACGCGAAAGCGUAGCUAAUACCGCAUACGACCUACGGGUGAAAGUGGGGGAUCGCAAGACCUCACGUCAUAGGAGCGGCCGAUGGCGGAUUAGCUAGUUGGUGAGGUAAAGGCUUACCAAGGCGACGAUCCGUAGCUGGUCUGAGAGGACGACCAGCCACACUGGGACUGAGACACGGCCCAGACUCCUACGGGAGGCAGCAGUGGGGAAUCUUGGACAAUGGGCGAAAGCCUGAUCCAGCAAUGCCGCGUGUGGGAUGAAGGCCUUCGGGUUGUAAACCACUUUUGGCGGGGGAAAAAUGCCGGGUGCUAAUACCAUCCGGUGAUGACGGUACCCGCAGCAAUAAACAUCGGCUAACUACAUGCCCGCACCCGCGGUAAUACUAAAGGUGC
rnacentral:rRNA from 1 species